GCUGAUGCGUUGUUGGGUAGGGGAGCGUUCUGUAAGCCUGUGAAGGUGGCCUGUGAGGGUUGCUGGAGGUAUCAGAAGUGCGAAUGCUGACAUAAGUAACGAUAAAGCGGGUGAAAAGCCCGCUCGCCGGAAGACCAAGGGUUCCUGUCCAACGUUAAUCGGGGCAGGGUGAGUCGACCCCUAAGGCGAGGCCGAAAGGCGUAGUCGAUGGGAAACAGGUUAAUAUUCCUGUACUUGGUGUUACUGCGAAGGGGGGACGGAGAAGGCUAUGUUGGCCGGGCGACGGUUGUCCCGGUUUAAGCGUGUAGGCUGGUUUUCCAGGCAAAUCCGGAAAAUCAAGGCUGAGGCGUGACGACGAGGCACUACGGUGCUGAAGCAACAAAUGCCCUGCUUCCAGGAAAAGCCUCUAAGCAUCAGGUAACAUCAAAUCGUACCCCAAACCGACACAGGUGGUCAGGUAGAGAAUACCAAGGCGCUUGAGAGAACUCGGGUGAAGGAACUAGGCAAAAUGGUGCCGUAACUUCGGGAGAAGGCACGCUGACACGUAGGUGAAGUGAUUUACUCAUGGAGCUGAAGUCAGUCGAAGAUACCAGCUGGCUGCAACUGUUUAUUAAAAACACAGCACUGUGCAAACACGAAAGUGGACGUAUACGGUGUGACGCCUGCCCGGUGCCGGAAGGUUAAUUGAUGGGGUCAGCGCAAGCGAAGCUCCUGAUCGAAGCCCCGGUAAACGGCGGCCGUAACUAUAACGGUCCUAAGGUAGCGAAAUUCCUUGUCGGGUAAGUUCCGACCUGCACGAAUGGCGUAAUGAUGGCCAGGCUGUCUCCACCCGAGACUCAGUGAAAUUGAACUCGCUGUGAAGAUGCAGUGUACCCGCGGCAAGACGGAAAGACCCCGUGAACCUUUACUAUAGCUUGACACUGAACAUUGAGCCUUGAUGUGUAGGAUAGGUGGGAGGCUUUGAAGUGUGGACGCCAGUCUGCAUGGAGCCGACCUUGAAAUACCACCCUUUAAUGUUUGAUGUUCUAACGUGGACCCGUGAUCCGGGUUGCGGACAGUGUCUGGUGGGUAGUUUGACUGGGGCGGUCUCCUCCUAAAGAGUAACGGAGGAGCACGAAGGUUGGCUAAUCCUGGUCGGACAUCAGGAGGUUAGUGCAAUGGCAUAAGCCAGCUUGACUGCGAGCGUGACGGCGCGAGCAGGUGCGAAAGCAGGUCAUAGUGAUCCGGUGGUUCUGAAUGGAAGGGCCAUCGCUCAACGGAUAAAAGGUACUCCGGGGAUAACAGGCUGAUACCGCCCAAGAGUUCAUAUCGACGGCGGUGUUUGGCACCUCGAUGUCGGCUCAUCACAUCCUGGGGCUGAAGUAGGUCCCAAGGGUAUGGCUGUUCGCCAUUUAAAGUGGUACGCGAGCUGGGUUUAGAACGUCGUGAGACAGUUCGGUCCCUAUCUGCCGUGGGCGCUGGAGAACUGAGGGGGGCUGCUCCUAGUACGAGAGGACCGGAGUGGACGCAUCACUGGUGUUCGGGUUGUCAUGCCAAUGGCACUGCCCGGUAGCUAAAUGCGGAAGAGAUAAGUGCUGAAAGCAUCUAAGCACGAAACUUGCCCCGA
rnacentral:rRNA from 1 species